AUUGAACGCUGGCGGCAUGCCUUACACAUGCAAGUCGAACGGUAACAGGUCUUCGGAUGCUGACGAGUGGCGAACGGGUGAGUAAUACAUCGGAACGUGCCCGAUCGUGGGGGAUAACGAAGCGAAAGCUUUGCUAAUACCGCAUAAGAUCUACGGAUGAAAGCAGGGGACCGCAAGGCCUUGCGCGAACGGAGCGGCCGAUGGCAGAUUAGGUAGUUGGUGGGAUAAAAGCUUACCAAGCCGACGAUCUGUAGCUGGUCUGAGAGGACGACCAGCCACACUGGGACUGGGACACGGCCCAGACUCCUACGGGAGUCAGCAGUGGGGAAUUUUGGACAAUGGGCGAAAGCCUGAUCCAGCCAUGCCGCGUGCAGGAUGAAGGCCUUCGGGUUGUAAACUGCUUUUGUACGGAACGAAAAGACUCUUUCUAAUAAAGAGGGUCCAUGACGGUACCGUAAGAAUAAGCACCGGCUAACUACGUGCCAGCAGCCGCCGUAA
rnacentral:rRNA from 1 species